AGUGUAGGCGGUCAAGCAAGUCAGGGGUGAAGGGCAUCGGCUCAACCGAUGUAAGCCUUUGAAACUGUUUGACUUGAGUGCAGGAGAGGUAAGUGGAAUUCCUAGUGUAGCGGUGAAAUGCGUAGAUAUUAGGAGGAACACCAGUGGCGAAGGCGACUUACUGGACUGUAACUGACGCUGAGGCUCGAAAGCGUGGGGAGCGAACA
rnacentral:rRNA from 1 species